rnacentral:rRNA from 1 species
CUUACGGGCGGCAGCAGUGGGGAAUAUUGGACAAUGGGGGGAACCCUGAUCCAGCCAUGCCGCGUGUGUGAAGAAGGCCCUCGGGUUGUAAAGCACUUUCAGUGAGGAAGAACGCCUGGUGGUUAAUACCCAUCAGGAAAGACAUCACUCACAGAAGAAGCACCGGCUAACUCCGUGCCAGCAGCCGCGGUAAUACGGAGGGUGCGAGCGUUAAUCGGAAUUACUGGGCGUAAAGCGCGCGUAGGUGGCUUGAUAAGCCGGUUGUGAAAGCCCCGGGCUCAACCUGGGAACGGCAUCCGGAACUGUCAAGCUAGAGUGCAGGAGAGGAAGGUAGAAUUCCCGGUGUAGCGGUGAAAUGCGUAGAGAUCGGGAGGAAUACCAGUGGCGAAGGCGGCCUUCUGGACUGACACUGACACUGAGGUGCGAAAGCGUGGGUAGCAAACAGGAUUAGAUACCCCAGUAGUC